CAAGUCGUGGGGCAGCAAGGGUAGCAAUACCUGUUGGCGACCGGCAAACGGGUGAGGAACAUGUACGCAACCUUCCUUUAACUGGAGAAUAGCCCCUCGAAAGAGGGAUUAAUACUCCGUAACAUAAUGAAGUGGCAUCACUUUAUUAUUAUAGCUCCGGCGGUUAAAGAUGGGCGUGCACCUGAUUAGAUAGUUGGCGGGGUAACGGCCCACCAAGUCUGCGAUCAGUAACUGGUGUGAGAGCACGACCAGUCACACGGGCACUGAGACACGGGUCCGACUCCUACGGGAGGCAGCAGUAAGGAAUAUUGGUCAAUGGACGCAAGUCUGAACCAGCCAUGCCGCGUGGAGGAUUAAGGCCCUCUGGGUUGUAAACUCCUUUUAUCUGGGAAGAAAUGUACUUUUUCUUGAGUACUUGACGGUACCAGAGGAAUAAGCACCGGCUAACUCCGUGCCAGCAGCCGCGGUAAUACGGAGGGUGCGAGCGUUAUCCGGAUUCACUGGGUUUAAAGGGUGCGUAGGUGGGCAGGUAAGUCAGUGGUGAAAUCUCCGAGCUUAACUCGGAAACUGCCGUUGAUACUAUUUGUCUUGAAUAUUGUGGAGGUAAGCGGAAUAUGUCAUGUAGCGGUGAAAUGCUUAGAUAUGACAUAGAACACCAAUUGCGAAGGCAGCUUACUACACAACGAUUGACGCUGAGGCACGAAAGCGUGGGGAUCAAACAGGAUUAGAUACCCUGGUAGUCCACGCCCUAAACGAUGAUUACUCGACAUACGCGAUACACUGUGUGUGUCUGAGCGAAAGCAUUAAGUAAUCCACCUGGGAAGUACGUUCGCAAGAAUGAACUCAA
rnacentral:rRNA from 1 species